rnacentral:rRNA from 1 species
GACGAACGCUGGCGGCGUGCUUAACACAUGCAAGUCGAACGGAAAGGCCCUGCUUUUGUGGGGUGCUCGAGUGGCGAACGGGUGAGUAACACGUGAGUAACCUGCCCUUGACUUUGGGAUAACUUCAGGAAACUGGGGCUAAUACCGGAUAGGGGCUCCUGCUGCAUGGUGGGGGUUGGAAAGUUUCGGCGGUUGGGGAUGGACUCGCGGCUUAUCAGCUUGUUGGUGGGGUAGUGGCUUACCAAAGCUUUGACGGGUAGCCGGCCUGAGAGGGUGACCGGCCACAUUGGGACUGAGAUACGGCCCAGACUCCUACGGGAGGCAGCAGUGGGGAAUAUUGCACAAUGGGCGGAAGCCUGAUGCAGCAACGCCGCGUGCGGGAUGACGGCCUUCGGGUUGUAAACCGCUUUCGCCUGUGACGAAGCGUGAGUGACGGUAAUGGGUAAAGAAGCACCGGCUAACUACGUG